rnacentral:rRNA from 1 species
ACUCCUACGGGAGGCAGCAGUAGGGAAUCUUCCACAAUGGGCGCAAGCCUGAUGGAGCAACACCGCGUGAGUGAAGAAGGGUUUCGGCUCGUAAAGCUCUGUUAGUUAAAGAAGAACACGUAUGAGAGUAACUGUUCAUACGUUGACGGUAUUAACCAGAAAGUCACGGCUAACUACGUGCCAGCAGCCGCGGUAAUACGUAGGUGGCAAGCGUUAUCCGGUAUUUAUUGGGCGUAAAGAGAGUGCAGGUCGGUUUUCUAAGUCUGAUGUGAAAGCCUUCGGCUUAACCGGAGAAGUGCAUCGGAAACUGGAUAACUUGAGUGCAGAAGAGGGUAGUGGAACUCCAUGUGUAGCGGUGGAAUGCGUAGAUAUAUGGAAGAACA